rnacentral:rRNA from 1 species
GGAAGCGAGCCCUGAGAUGAGUUUUCCCUGGCGCUUUAAGCGUCCUAAAGGGUUGUUCAAGACUAGAACGUUGAUAGGCAGGGUGUGUAAGCGCUGUGAGGCGUUGAGCUAACCUGUACUAAUUGCCCGUGAGGCUUAACCAUACAACACCCAAGGGGUUU